rnacentral:rRNA from 1 species
GACGAACGCUGGCGGCGUGCUUAACACAUGCAAGUCGAACGGAAAGGCCCUGCUUUUGUGGGGUGCUCGAGUGGCGAACGGGUGAGUAACACGUGAGUAACCUGCCCUUGACUUUGGGAUAACUUCAGGAAACUGGGGCUAAUACCGGAUAGGAGCUCCUGCUGCAUGGUGGGGGUUGGAAAGUUUCGGCGGUUGGGGAUGGACUCGCGGCUUAUCAGCUUGUUGGUGGGGUAGUGGCUUACCAAGGCUUUGACGGGUAGCCGGCCUGAGAGGGUGACCGGCAAAAUUGGGACUGAGAUACGGCCAAGAGUCCUACGGGAGGAAGAAGGGGGGAAUAGUGCACAAUGGGCGGAAGCCUGAUGCAGCAACGCCGCGUGCGGGAUGACGGCCGUCGGGUUGUAAACCGCUUUCGCCUGUGACGAAGCGUGAGUGACGGUAAUGGGUAAAGAAGCACCGGCGAGCUACGUG